AGUUGUAUGGGAUACCUAAAUUUCCCAUGGCAAACUGCUCAGUAACACAUGAUCAACUUGCCCCAUAGAGAAAAGUAACCUCGGGAAACUGAGGAUAAUAUUUCAUAGUUGAAAAGGCUUGGAAAAGUUUUUCAAUAAAAUGGAUAAGGAAAAUGGUCUUUAUCUGCUAUAGGAUAGGAUCGUGUUCGAUUAUGGUUGUUGGUGAGGUAAUGGCUCACCAAGCCGAUAAUCGAUAGGGGCCGUGAGAGCGGAAGCCCCGAGAUGGGUACUGAGACAGCGACCCAGGCCUUACGAGGCGCAGCAGGCGCGAAACCUCCACAAUACACGAAAGUGUGAUGGGGUUACCCAAAGUGUUCUAUUAAGAACUGUGGUAGGUGAGUAAUGUUCCCUACUAGAAAGGAGAGGGCAAGGCUGGUGCCAGCCGCCGCGGUAAAACCAGCUCUUCAAGUGGUCGGGAUAAUUAUUGGGCUUAAAGUGUCCGUAGCCGGUUUAGUAAGUUCCUGAGUAAAUCGGGUAGCUUAACUAUCUGCAUGCUAGGAAUACUGCUAUAC
rnacentral:rRNA from 1 species